rnacentral:tRNA from 1 species
UCCGGUGUCUGUCUAAAGGCCAGGACGCCUGACUUUGAAUCAGGAAAUAGGGGUUCAAUUCCCUUCACCGGAU